rnacentral:rRNA from 1 species
CACUCCUACGGGAGGCAGCAGUGGGGAAUUUUGGACAAUGGGCGAAAGCCUGAUCCAGCAAUGCCGCGUGUGUGAAGAAGGCCUUCGGGUUGUAAAGCACUUUUGUCCGGAAAGAAAUCCUUGGCUCUAAUACAGUCGGGGGAUGACGGUACCGGAAGAAUAAGCACCGGCUAACUACGUGCCAGCAGCCGCGGUAAUACGUAGGGUGCGAGCGUUAAUCGGAAUUACUGGGCGUAAAGCGUGCGCAGGCGGUUUGCUAAGACCGAUGUGAAAUCCCCGGGCUCAACCUGGGAACUGCAUUGGUGACUGGCAGGCUAGAGUAUGGCAGAGGGGGGUAGAAUUCCACGUGUAGCAGUGAAAUGCGUAGAGAUGUGGAGGAAUACCGAUGGCGAAGGCAGCCCCCUGGGCCAAUACUGACGCUCAUGCACGAAAGCGUGGGGAGCAAACAGGAUUAGAAACCCGUGUAGUCCC